rnacentral:tRNA from 1 species
GGCAGUGUAGCCUAGUGGUAAAGUGCUGGACCUCCAGUCGGGAGGUCGUGGGUUCGAACCCCACCGCGGGCA